GCCAGGUGAGGGUCGGUCUCUUCUCAAAUGCAGUCAGUGACAGGACAAGAGCAUCAAGCUGCACCGGGGGAGGUUUAGGUUGGAUAAUUUGAGGAAUUUCUUCACAGAAGGGUUGCAGAGUGUUUUUACUUUCAAUAAAGUGGGAUGAGUUUUGCUUCACAAAUUCAGGGGCAAAAUGGGAUAUAACAUAUCCUAUUUUUUUUUGAAUUCUGAAAGAACUUCAGCUCUUUGAAACAACUUACUGAUUACACAGGGGAAAGAACCAAACACAAUGCAUCCAAGUUCCAAAAUUUCGUGAUAUAGGAAAAAAAUCAGGAAACGCUGGAGAGAAACAUUAAAGGGAGCAGAAUCUUCUGACCUGGUCCAAGAAAACUUCAAUAUAAUGGAAAUCAUACUAGUGUUUAUUACCUCAUCCAACUUUUGAUAUUUACAUCCCAAGAAUAUCUUCAGGAAAAACCAUAAAGCUCAUUGAGACAUGAACUAUGAUCUCAAAAUACCUUUCAGGAUGGUUUGUUGUGAAAGAAAACAGGUUCCAGACAGGCCAAACAUGUCCACUGCUGCAGGCUACCCAAAACAAGUUCAGAAGGAAAGUGAAGAAAAUUCAGAUUUUGGUUUUGCAUAGCAUCAUCUGAUCACAGACUGCUUUCUUUCAGUUUGUUAUGGGGACCACAGGGGCUGUUGAAAUUAAUAGAGACUACCUGGAAGAGGAAAAGCUGUGUAGUGAAAAACAGUACUUUUUUUCCAAGAAGUCUGUGUACUCUGGAGAUAGCUGCUGCUCAAGUCUGAGUCAGGCUCUCACUCGCAGUGAUGCACAAGGGAGAAAUGGGAAAAAUGAGAACAGAAGACAAUAUGAAACACCUGCACUGACAACCUCAUCUCUUGUCCCUACAAAUAGAUGCAAACUCCUGUUCCAAGACAUGGAGAUGCUCAGCCAAUACAAACAGUAACAAAUGACCAGCCAUACCCUUAUGACAGAAGAUUGACUCUGAUGUCACUCUUCUUACCAGUGGGGAAUUAAUGACAUGUAUUAGUGUAGUGCUUAGAAGGAAUAAGAGCAUAACAAGUAAGAAAGAGCUCGAAAAGAAGAAACAUUCUGUCACCAGUAACUUAUGCAGCUGUCAGCCAGGCAUCUAGGUCUGACUAAACUUACAGAACAUCUUUGCCCUAAAUAACACAGCAGAUGCAUACAUUGAAUACAUUUGGAAUAUAGAGCUAAAAAGCAUCAACCUUCCAACCAACAAAAAGAAAUAAUUAAAAUAAAGAGUGAA